GUGGCAUGCGCGUGCUAUACAUGCAGUCGAGCGAACAGAUAAGGAGCUUGCUCCUUUGACGUUAGCGGCGGACGGGUGAGUAACACGUGGAUAACCUACCUAUAAGACUGGGAUAACUUCGGGAAACCGGAGCUAAUACCGGAUAACAUAUUGAACCGCAUGGUUCAAUAGUGAAAGGCGGCUUUGCUGUCACUUAUAGAUGGAUCCGCGCCGUAUUAGCUAGUUGGUAAGGUAACGGCUUACCAAGGCAACGAUACGUAGCCGACCUGAGAGGGUGAUCGGCCACACUGGAACUGAGACACGGUCCAGACUCCUACGGGAGGCAGCAGUAGGGAAUCUUCCGCAAUGGGCGAAAGCCUGACGGAGCAACGCCGCGUGAGUGAUGAAGGUCUUCGGAUCGUAAAACUCUGUUAUCAGGGAAGAACAAAUGUGUAAGUAACUGUGCACAUCUUGACGGUACCUGAUCAGAAAGCCACGGCUAACUACGUGCCAGCAGCCGCGGUAAUACGUAGGUGGCAAGCGUUAUCCGGAAUUAUUGGGCGUAAAGCGCGCGUAGGCGGUUUUUUAAGUCUGAUGUGAAAGCCCACGGCUCAACCGUGGAGGGUAUUGGAAACUGGAAAACUUGAUUGUAAAAGAUGACAGUGGAAUUCCAUGUGUAGCGGUGAAAUGCCCAUAGAUUUGUUCCGAACGUAAAAGUCGAUAUCGACUUUCUGGUAA
rnacentral:rRNA from 1 species